GAAUAGCUUAGCAAAGGGGUUAAUGCGACCAACUGUUUAGUUUGGUAGGCGUGAGUUCGAAUCUCACACUAUUCC
rnacentral:tRNA from 2 species